rnacentral:rRNA from 1 species
AUUGAACGCUGGCGGCAUGCCUUACACAUGCAAGUCGAACGACGCUAGGGGCAACUCUAGCGAGUGGCGUACGGGUGAGUAAUGCAUCGGAACGUGCCCUCUCGUGGGGGAUAACCAGUCGAAAGAUUGGCUAAUACCGCAUGAGCUCGAGAGAGGAAAGCGGGGGAUCCGCAAGGACCUCGCGCGAGAGGAGCGGCCGAUGCCCGAUUAGCUAGUUGGUGGGGUAAAAGCCCACCAAGGCGACGAUCGGUAGCUGGUCUGAGAGGACGACCAGCCACACUGGGACUGAGACACGGCCCAGACUCCUACGGGAGGAAGCAGUGGGGAAUUUUGGACAAUGGGGGCAACCCUGAUCCAGCCAUGCCGCGUGUGUGAAGAAGGCCUUCGGGUUGUAAAGCACUUUCGGACGGAACGAAAUCGCGCGGGUGAACAAUCCGCGUGGAUGACGGUACCGUAAGAAGAAGCACCGGCUGACUACGUGCCAGCCGCCGCGGUAA